UAUGUGUUUAAUAUAUAUACACUGAACAUAAUACAUCACAUAUAAUACAUAAUAAUUUGAUGUAUAUGCAUUAUAAUAAAAUAAAUAUAUAUUAAGUAUGCAAACCUAAAAUAUUAAUAUAUAUCAAGUAUAUAAAUGCAUAUACAAUAAAUAUAUAAACCUAAAAUAUGAAUAUAUAUAAAGUAGAUGAAUAUCACACAUAAACAAAAUAUAAAUGUCUGGACAUUGACCAUGUACAAGUGUGCAGUGUGGACAGUGAAUGGAAAUGUGAGCAUGAAAUGUGUGUUGAUGCCUCCCUGUCUCCUCUGCACACACGACACACAGGGACCUCCGCGUCUCCUCUGCACACACGACACACAGGGACCUCCGCGUCUCCUGCGCACACACGACACACAGGGACCUCCGCGUCUCCUGCGCACACACGACACACAGGGACCUCCGCGUCUCCUCUGCACACACGACACACAGGGACCUCCGCGUCUCCUGCACACACGACACACAGGGACCUCCGCGUCUCCUGCACACACACAACACACAGGGACCUCCGCGUCUCCUCUGCACACACGACACACAGGGACCUCCGCGUCUCCUCUGCACACACACAACACACAGGGACCUCCGCGUCUCCUGCGCACACACGACACACAGGGACCUCCGCGUCUCCUGCGCACACACAACACACAGGGAUCAUUCGGGGUUCAGGGAUGUGUGUCUGUGGUGGGAUCCCUGGCAAUUUUUCUGAUUUGCCCGAUCACUCAUGAGUUUCAUGACUGUUACGAUUUUUCACAGAAGAACCUUGGCUAUGGACAAAAUGGGUUGGCAGAUGCAGGGGGAACCCGAGGCGAGGCUGUUUGUGUCCGGGCUGGCUGUCCUGGUGGCUGCAGGUGCCUAGGCCGUGUGGACAUCUGA
rnacentral:lncRNA from 10 species